UGGGAUAUGGUGUAACGGCUAACAUUAGCGCCCCUCAUGGAUCUCCAAACUUAAUUCAGCUUCGCGCUAGCUCGGGGUUCGAUUCCCCGUAUCCGAA